rnacentral:snRNA from 14 species
GUCCNUUCGGGGACAUCCGAUAAANNUGGAACGAUACAGAGAAGAUUAGCAUGGCCCCUGCGCAAGNAUGACACGGCACAAAAUCGAGAAAUGGUCCAAUUUUUU